CAAUCCAUGAGUAAAGUGGCGCACGGGUGAGUAACACGUGACUAACCUACCCUUGAGUGGGGAAUAACUGAGGGAAACCUUGGCUAAUACCGCAUAAUACCUACGGGUCAAAGGAGCAAUUCGCUUAAGGAGGGGGUCGCGGCAGAUUAGUUAGUUGGCGGGGUAAUGGCCCACCAAGACAGUGAUCUGUAUCCGGCCUGAGAGGGCACACGGCCACACUGGCACUGAAACACGGGCCAG
rnacentral:rRNA from 1 species